GGCUUCGUAGUUGAGUGCUAAGGACAUUUGCCUCUCACCCUGGAGUCACGGGUUCGAUCCCCGUUCGAGUAGCUA